CCUACGGGGAGCUGCAGUGAGGAAUAUUGGUCAAUGGGCGGGAGCCUGAACCAGCCAAGCCGCGUGAGGGAAGAAGGUACAGCGUAUCGUAAACCUCUUUUGUCAGGGAACAGAGGCGGGGACUAGUCCCCGGAUGAGGGUACCUGAAGAGAAAGCAUCGGCAAACUCAGUGCCAGCAGCCGCGGUAAUCCGGGGGAUGCGAGCGUUAUCCGGAUUGAAUGGGGUAAAGGGGUGCGCAGGCGGCCUGUUAAGUCAGCGGGAAAAGGCCGGGGCUCACCCCCGGCGAGCCGUUGGAACUGGCGGGCUGGAGUGUGAGAGAAGGGCGCGGAAUUCGGGGUGUAGCGGUGAAAUGGUU
rnacentral:rRNA from 1 species